rnacentral:rRNA from 1 species
GAUGAACGCUGGCGGCGUGCCUAAUACAUGCAAGUCGAGCGAACGGACGAGAAGCUUGCUUUUCUGAUGUUAGCGGCGGACGGGUGAGUAACACGUGGAUAACCUACCUAUAAGACUGGGAUAACUUCGGGAAACCGGAGCUAAUACCGGAUAAUAUUUUGAACCGCAUGGUUCAAAAGUGAAAGACGGUCUUGCUGUCACUUAUAGAUGGAUCCGCGCUGCAUUAGCUAGUUGGUAAGGUAACGGCUUACCAAGGCAACGAUGCAUAGCCGACCUGAGAGGGAGAUCGGCCACACUGGAACUGAGACACGGUCCAGACUCCUACGGGAAGCAGCAGUAGAGAAUCUUACGCAAUGGGCGAGAGCCUGACGGAGCAACACCGCGUAAGUGAUGAAGGUCUUCGGAUCGUAAAACGCUGUUGUUAGGAGGGAACAAAUGUGUAUGUAACUGUGCACAUCUUGACGGUACCUAGACAAAAAGCCACGGCUAACUACGUG